AUCCCGGCGCCGGGCAUGCUGGGACUUGUAGUUUGCCUAGAAGAAAAGGGCGCUUGAGCUACAGCAGUUUCCGAGGCCGUGAGCGACUGUUUUAGCGCCAGUCAGGAGGUGCGGGUUCUUGUGCCGCUGGUUACCUCAGCGGUUCGGGAAGCGCUGAAUUGCUUGUAGAGUGGAUUUGGGGCCAUUCUUCCGGAGUUAGAGAAGCCAAAUUAUGGACUCUACAAAAGUAGUGAGAAGUCUUGAAGUAGUCUACUGGGCUCUUUACUCUGGACCACUCUUUAUGCCUAGUGUCAACCCAGUUCUUCAGCUACUGAAUGCCCUCCCCUGGCCUCCCCCACCCCCUGGGAGAAAAUGUGGGAUAAAGAUGUGAGACGUCUCCAGUCACACAGACUUCGAUGGGAUCUGAAGAGACUGAACAGUGUAUCAUAACUUUUCUCAAUAACAUUCUGUUUAUUCUUUGAGGAUUUUUUAUUAACAUUUGGUUUUGCUUAAUUUUA